rnacentral:rRNA from 1 species
UACGAAGGGGGCUAGCGUUGCUCGGAAUCACUGGGCGUAAAGCGCACGUAGGCGGAUUCCUAAGUCGGGGGUGAAAUCCUGGAGCUCAACUCCAGAACUGCCUUUGAUACUGGCAAUCUCGAGUCCGGGAGAGGUGAGUGGAACUGCGAGUGUAGAGGUGAAAUUCGUAGAUAUUCGCAAGAACACCAGUGGCGAAGGCGGCUCACUGGCCCGGUACUGACGCUGAGGUGCGAAAGCGUGGGGAGCAAACAGG